CGUAAAAAUCCAAAGCAACCAAAACCCUUCUAUUUCACGUGAAAUACCAAACAUCCUCCCUCAAUUCUCCCUCACUGCUGCUCCUCCUUACCGCCGCUGUUCACAGCCGCCGCCACCACCCACCAGCGACCAUCCGCCCUUGCCGCCGCAACCACAGCCACAGCCCGAGUCUUGUCGCCACCGUCCACCUUACCGCAGGCUCGCCGUCCAGCACGCCUCCGCGAGUCGUCCUCGCCACCCGCACAGCACCACCUUCGUCGGCUGACAGUCCGUCGCUGCCGCGCCGUACGCCGCCGCCCUACCUACUUCUCUCCUCUCCUUUUGGCGGAGAAUUCUUUGUGGGCGACUUUUGAAUUCGUUAAAGUGGCCUAUCAGUUUGUUUACACAAGUCUCUAAGGAUCAAUAAGCAUUGUCCAUCUGCAGGUUUGAAGAUGUUGCAUCAUUGGGAUCGGGAAUAGAGAGCUUGUAUUUAGUUUUGAUUUACUAAGUUGACUUGGGUUUGUUAAUUGGGACUUUAAACUUGUCGUACUAUUUAUAUUUCCUUAUUUUCGUUGGAUGAUUUUUGGGACUAAACCUGUAAUCGAUUAUUUAUAAACCUAAAGUUAGUUUUA